CGGGAAGCUGGUGAUCAGCAGCUUCCAGAUAAGAUCUCAGCACUCUAAGAGACAAGAUGGUGGAAUUUAACUAGUAUAUGACCUUUCUUUAGGAACGCUCAACUGGUAUCCAGAUGCAGAAGUCUUACCUCCUGCUUUUCUAUGACAUCAUCCUUCAGAAGGCAGGGCAUAGGCAAGAACAUGAUAAAGCACUUCUCCUUCCUGCCAUCAUGUGAAGAAGGAUGUGUUUGCUUCCCCUUCUGCCAGGAUUGUACGUUUCCUGAAGCCUCCCCAGCCUGCAGAACUGAACAUGGAUGGAGCUGGAGGCUAUUAUUCUCAUCAAACUGUCCCAGGAAGAGAAAACCAAAUACCACAUGUUCUCACUUGUAAGUGGGAGUUAGAUGGUGAAAACUUACAAACACAAAGAAGAAAACAACAGACACCUGGGUUUACUUGAAGGUGGCGGGUGGGAGAAGGGAAAGUAACAGAAAAAAUAACUAUUGGGUACUGGGCUUAAUUCUUGGGUAAUGAGAUAUUCUGUACAACAAAUUUCCAUGACAUAAGUUUACCUAUGUAACAAGCUUUCACAUGUACUGCCGAACCUAAAAUAAAAGCUAAAAAAAAGGAAAUGUGCUAAUAAUGUACUCUUUCAUCAUCCCAUUCCUAUGUAAAUAUUCAAUAAAGCAAAAUUUCUUCCCAACCUCAAAUAUAGGAGUUCAUUAUUAUCCGUUACCCAUAUACCAUAGGUUAGCAUG